AGAGUUUGAUCCUGGCUCAGGAUGAACGCUAGCGGCAGGCUUAACACAUGCAAGUCGAGGGGCAGCGGGGAGGAAGCUUGCUUUCUCCGCCGGCGACCGGCGCACGGGUGAGUAACACGUAUGCAACCUGCCCCUGUCAGGGGGACAACCCGCCGAAAGGCGGGCUAAACCCGCGUACAUGCCACCGGGGCAUCCCGGAGGCAGGAAAGGCUUCGGCCGGACAGGGAUGGGCAUGCGGCGCAUUAGGCAGUAGGCGGGGUAACGGCCCACCUAACCGACGAUGCGUAGGGGUUCUGAGAGGAAGGUCCCCCACACUGGUACUGAGACACGGACCAGACUCCUACGGGAGGCAGCAGUGAGGAAUAUUGGUCAAUGGUCGGGAGACUGAACCAGCCAAGCCGCGUGAGGGAAGAAGGUACAGAGUAUCGUAAACCUCUUUUGUCAGGGAACAAAGGCGGGGACGUGUCCCCGGAUGAGUGUACCUGAAGAAAAAGCAUCGGCUAACUCCGUGCCAGCAGCCGCGGUAAUACGGAGGAUGCGAGCGUUAUCCGGAUUUAUUGGGUUUAAAGGGUGCGCAGGCGGUCUGUUAAGUCAGCGGUCAAAGCCCGGGGCUCAACCCCGGCCCGCCGUUGAAACUGGCAGUCUCGAGUUGGAGAGAAGUAUGCGGAAUGCGCGGUGUAGCGGUGAAAUGCAUAGAUAUCGCGCAGAACUCCGAUUGCGAAGGCAGCAUGCCGGCUCCACACUGACGCUGAGGCACGAAAGCGUGGGUAUCGAACAGGAUUAGAUACCCUGGUAGUCCACGCAGUAAACGAUGAAUGCUGGCUGUCCGGGGGGACUGACCCCUGGGUGGCGAAGCGAAAGCGAUAAGCAUUCCACCUGGGGAGUACGCCGGCAACGGUGAAACUCAAAGGAAUUGACGGGGGCCCGCACAAGCGGAGGAACAUGUGGUUUAAUUCGAUGAUACGCGAGGAACCUUACCCGGGCUCAAACGGGGAGUGGCGCAGGCAGAGACGCCUGUUUCCCACGGGACACUCCCCGAGGUGCUGCAUGGUUGUCGUCAGCUCGUGCCGUGAGGUGUCGGCUUAAGUGCCAUAACGAGCGCAACCCCCGCGUGCAGUUGCUAACAGUCAACGCUGAGGACUCUGCACGGACUGCCGGCGCAAGCCGCGAGGAAGGCGGGGAUGACGUCAAAUCAGCACGGCCCUUACGUCCGGGGCGACACACGUGUUACAAUGGGUGGUACAGCGGGAAGCCAGGCGGCGACGCCGAGCGGAACCCGAAAUCCACUCUCAGUUCGGAUCGGAGUCUGCAACCCGACUCCGUGAAGCUGGAUUCGCUAGUAAUCGCGCAUCAGCCAUGGCGCGGUGAAUACGUUCCCGGGCCUUGCACACACCGCCCGUCA
rnacentral:rRNA from 1 species